UUCAGGCAACUUGUAUCUAAUCUUGGGCCAUAGACACUCAUAUAAGAUUGAGAAUAAACCUUUUUAUUUAAACCUUUGAUGUAAAAUCUGUGUUUUAUGUCAGUUUAGUGAUCGACCGUGGGAUCCCAAAGACAAUGUACCAGAUGCCAGAGGAGGCGUUUUGUGUCCAAUUGUCCUUGUGCCCUUCUUGUGUGGUGCUGGAUCAAGAUUUUCAAGUACUUAGGCCUCAACCACAUGCGACCCUGUUUUAAAGAGAAGAGGAGGAGGAGGAAGAAGAGGAUGAGGAGGAGAGGAGGAGGACAAAGAAGAGGAGGAGGAGGAGGAGGAAGAGGAGGAGGAAAAGGAGGAGGAGGAGGAGGAGGAGGAGGAGCAGCAGCAGCAGCAGCAGCACUUGUUCCCCACAACUCAACAGGGUGGAGAUGUCAGGUAAACUCCUGGAACGUACAAAGGUGACUGAGGAAAGACCAAAACAAAACAUCUCAUUCCUAGAUUGGAAGGAAUACUUCUGGCUCAUAGGAAAAUACAUAAAGAAUGGCCAUCCAGUGUUCUGAAGCCAUUCUAUAAAUAUGCAGGAUAAGCGGGAGACAUAGUGGGAAAACAGACACAGUGGGAGACACAGUGGGAGACUUGAAAAACAGCCUCUGAUCCAAAACACAUCACUCAUCCUUGCUCCCAAAGCCCAAGGUUCAUGUAAUAUAAAAUAAAACAUAAUCCAACAUUAAAAGUGCCACAGUCAGCCAGGCAUGGUGACACGCACCAUUAACCCCAGCACUCAGGAAGCAAAGGAGACAGAUCUAUGAGUCAGGAGCCAGCUGGGACUCAUAGGACCCUGUCCCAAAGACAAAACAAUACCAAAACAUGCAAACUAAAGAAACCCAAUGUUAUAAAUUUUAUAGAUUUCUUUUUAUAUAUGCAUAUGGGUGUUAUACAAUGCCCUCACAGGCCAGAAGAGGAUGUCCCUUGGGAAUGGAAUUACAGAUGAUUGUGAGCUACCGUGUGGGUGCUGGGAAUCAAACGAGGACCUAUGGAAGAGUAGCUGAACCAUAGCUAUAAGUGUAUUAUUCCAAAAGGAAAGAAUCAGAGCAUCACAAGGAAUAAUCACAUCCAAAAAACCCAAACCAAAACAAACAAAAAACCCAAGCCCGGCAGUAUAAACACCAAAUCCUAUAGACCAAUGUCUAACAUCUGGGACUUACUCAAGGUAAUUGCUAAGCUUUGAAGGGCUUAGGAAGCCCUACCUCUCCAGCUCUGCGAUCCACAGCAAACAAAGUGUUAAUUCCACUGGUAGAGAAUGAAAUCACCACCACAAUCUUUGGGCCAAAAUUGAAGCAAGCUUUAAUCAAAUACUGGCCAGGCUGAUAGACUCUGCCCAUGUCCUUCUUUAGGUCUACCCCUUACCCCCAAAAUGGCCACAUUUUUCCCCAGGGACUUAAAAAAAUCAAAACUCACCACAUUUCCCAUCAGGUCAAAUCAGGGACAAGCAUAUAUCCUGACAUAUUUCCUGCCCAUGUACCUCCCCGCCACACAUGUCUUCAAGCACACACAAUGCAGACGAGUCAAACAAACUAAUUGCAUAGGGGAGUGAAAAUAUAAACACCAGCCUUCAGCAUAGUGCUUUAGUUCUUGAAUGAGCUUCUCUUUUAGGCUCACACUAUCUCCAUUCUAUGGCUGUAGCUCUCUCUGGCAGACAUCCCACAGUCCUGGCAUCUCCAAUAUCCAGGGUUCUCUGUUGCAACUGAGGCUUCACUUUUACCAGUGGCCUCUCUCAGAGCAUCUUUGUAGAGACUCUGGCCACAAGGUGCUAAGCCUUAGUUGCUCACCAUGACCAUUUCAUGUCUUCAACUCUUGCACUGCUAAUUUCUGCUAAGAUAGAUCUAAGUAGCCAGGCCCCCUUGGAUCACAUCUCCUGACCCUGAAGAAAUACAUCCCUACUGCCCCAAUGAAGCACAGAAGGUCAUACUUCAGUGGUACUGAUGAUCUCUUAUAACUAAACCCCAGCAGGAUCAAAUAAGACAAUUAAAUAAGCAAAAUAUCACAUGACUGGUCCCUGGCCCAAUUCCUGAUAAAGUUCUUGCUCCCUACUGAAACCUUAUGUGCCAGGCUGCUCACAAUUUCCACAAUUUCUCUCAGCAUUAGUAUCUUCCAAACUCUCACAAGAAUUAGUGAACCAAAUACUGCCUCUAGCACUCAAUGGUUUCUCCAGUCCAGAGCUCCAAAUGCUUUUAUAUUCCUUCUCUAAAAACAAAGUAUAAAAUCCACAUGGCCAAGUCCAUCAAGUGACACCUCAGUCGCUGUACCAAAUUGUGUCCUCGUUCAUUUGUUGCUACAAAAAAUGACCCAGACAAAAAGCAACUUAGGCAAGAAGAGGGUUUAUUUGGGUUACAUCUCUAGGUCAUAGACCCUUAUUUGAGGGGAAGCCAAGGCAGGGACUAGUGGAAAGCCCUUGAUGCUGCUUCAAGAGUAUUGACAAGAAUAUUCACAUUGGUCUAGGACAAGCCUCAAGAAUACAGCCAAGGAAUGUACUGCAUUCCUUGUAUCUUGGUCAUCCUGAAAAAACCCUAGACACAGUGACCACAGGACUUUGUUCAUGCCUUGUUUGUUCCUUGACUUCUUUGUCUUUGACCUAAAACUGACCCUAUUCUUCGCAUGUACCUAGAAUGGUAUAAAAGCAGACUAGAAAAAAAAUAAACCUGCUUCAGCACUGGCUGAAGUCAUGUUA